rnacentral:rRNA from 1 species
CAUGCCGCGUGUGUGAAGAAGGCCUUCGGGUUGUAAAGCACUUUCAGUGGUGAGGAAAGGGUGAUAGUUAAUAGCUAUCACAGUUGACGUUAGCCACAGAAGAAGCACCGGCUAACUCCGUGCCAGCCCCCGCGGUGACUGAGCGGGCUGGCAAGGCGCAUA